rnacentral:rRNA from 1 species
UUGGAGGGCAAGUCUGGUGCCAGCAGCCGCGGUAAUUCCAGCUCCAAUAGCGUAUAUUAAAGUUGUUGCAGUUAAAAAGCUCGUAGUUGAAUUUCGGGAUCAAAUAAUCGGUCGUGCCUCCGGUACGUACUGGUUUUAUUGGUUCCUCCCUUCUGACGAAGCAUGAUGUCAUUAAUUUGAUGUGGUGGAGAAUCAGGACUGUUACCUUGAAAAAAUUAGAGUGUUUAAAGCAGGCUAACGCUUGAAUACAUUAGCAUGGAAUAAUGAAAUAGGACGUUCGACCCUAUUUUGUUGGUUUCUAAGAUCGACGUAAUGAUUAAUAGGGAUAGUUGGGGGCAUUAGUAUUCAAUUGUCAGAGGUGAAAUUCUUGGAUUUAUUGAAGACUAACUACUGCGAAAGCAUUUGCCAAGGAUGUUUUCAUUAAUCAAGAACGAAAGUUAGGGGAUCGAAGACGAUCAGAUACCGUCGUAGUCUUAACCAUAAACUAUGCCGACUAGGGAUCGGAUGAUGUUAAUUUUUUAAUGACUCAUUCGGCGCCUUACGGGAAAC